UACGUACGAGGCGAGCGUUAUCCGGAAUUACUGGGCGUAAAGCGCGCGCAGGUGGUUUCUUAAGUCUGAUGUGAAAGCCCACGGCUCAACCGUGGAGGGUCAUUGGAAACUGGGGAACUUGAGUGCAGAAGAGGAAAGUGGAAUUCCAAGUGUAGCGGUGAAAUGCGUAGAGAUUUGGAGGAACACCAGUGGCGAAGGCGACUUUCUGGUCUGUAACUGACACUGAGGCGCGAAAGCGUGGGGAGCGAACAGG
rnacentral:rRNA from 1 species